AUUGAACGCUGGCGGCAGGCCUAACACAUGCAAGUCGAACGAGUGGCGGACGGGUGAGUAAUGUCUGGGAAACUGCCUGAUGGAGGGGGAUCACUACUGGAAACUGUAGCUAAUACCGCAUACCUUCGGAUGGGCCCAUAUGGGAUUAGCUAGUGGGUGGGGUAAAGGCUCACCAAGGCGACGAACCCUAGCUGGUCUGAGAGGAUGACCAGCGACACUGGAACUGAGACACGGUCCAGACGCCUACGGGAGGCAGCAGUGGGGAAUAUUGCACAAUGGGCGCAAGCCUGAUGCAGCCAUGCCGCGUGUAUGAAGAAGGCCUUCGGAUUGUAAAGUACUUUCAGCGGGGAGGCGUUACCCGCAGAAGAAGCACCGGCUAACUCCGUGCCAGCAGCCGCGGUAAUUC
rnacentral:rRNA from 1 species